rnacentral:rRNA from 1 species
GAAACGACUGCUAAGACUGGAUAGGAGAUAAGAAGGCAUCUUUUUAUUUUUAAAAGACCUAGCAAUAGGUAUGCUUAGGGAAGAGCUUGCGUCACAUUAGUUAGUUGGUGGGGUAAUGGCCUACCAAGACGAUGAUGUGUAGCCGGGCUGAGAGGUCGAACGGCCACAUUGGGACUGAGACACGGCCCAAACUCCUACGGGAGGCAGCAGUAAGGAAUUUUCGGCAAUGGAGGAAACUCUGACCGAGCAAUGCCGCGUGAACGAUGAAGUAUUUCGGUACGUAAAGUUCUUUUAUUAGGGAAGAAAAGAUGGUGGAAAAACCAUUAUGACGGUACCUAAUGAAUAAGCCCCGGCUAACUAUGUGCCAGCAGCCGCGGUAAUACAUAGGGGGCAAGCGUUAUCCGGAAUUAUUGGGCGUAAAGGGUGCGUAGGCGGUUAAAUAAGUUUAUGGUCUAAGUGCAACGCUCAACGUUGUGAUGCUAUAAAAACUGUUUAGCUAGAGUUGGAUAGAGGCAAGUGGAAUUCCGUGUGUAGUGGUAAAAUGCGUAAAUAUACGGAGGAACACCAGAAGCGAAGGCGGCUUGCUGGGUCUUAACUGACGCUGAGGCACGAAAGCGUGGGGAGCAAACAGGAUUAGAUACCCUGGUAGUCCACGCCCUAAACGAUGAGUACUAAACGUUGGAUAAAACCAGUGUUGAAGUUAACACAUUAAGUACUCCGCCUGAGUAGUACGUACGCAAGUAUGAGACUUAAAGGAAUUGACGGGACUCCGCACAAGCGGUGGAUCAUGUUGUUUAAUUCGAAGGUACCCGAAAAACCUCACCAGGUCUUGACAUGCUUUUGCAAAGCUGUAGAAAUACAGUGGAGGUUAUCAGAAGCACAGGUGGUGCAUGGUUGUCGUCAGCUCGUGUCGUGAGAUGUUGGGUUAAGUCCCGCAACGAGCGCAACCCUUGUUGUUAAUUGCCAUCAUUAAGUUGGGGACUUUAGCAAGACUGCCAAUGAUAAAUUGGAGGAAGGUGGGGACGACGUCAAAUCAUCAUGCCCCUUAUGACCUGGGCUACAAACGUGAUACAAUGGCUGUUACAAAGGGUAGCUAAAGCGUAAGCUUCUGGCGAAUCUCAAAAAAGCAGUCUCAGUUCGGAUUGAAGUCUGCAACUCGACUUCAUGAAGUUGGAAUCGCUAGUAAUCGCGAAUCAGCAUGUCGCGGUGAAUACGUUCUCGGGGUUUGUACACACCGCCCGUCA